CAACACAAUCAGGCUUUUGGUCUGGUUGAGUCUAUUCUCUCCUCUGUACCAGGACAAGGUCACAUCUUUCCGGUUCUUCACAGUGCACACCACUGAACAGCUUUAGAGGAAUGAACCAUUUGUUCAAAUGGAGAAGGCUUGCCAGACUGAUGUUCAUGCUGCUAUAUUUUGUCAUUGAUGUGCUCUGUGCUUCCCAGCAAACAGUCCAGUCUGAGACUCAGCACGUAAAAGGCGUCGUGGGACAGUCUUUCUCUUUUCCAGAGAGGGUGAUCAAGUCUGGCAAUUUACUUUAUGGAGACCUUGGCACUAUUGCAAAUGUGUACCCUGGUAAAGAAGGCAAAAUCACCCUUGAGAAGAGAUUUGAAAAGCGCCUCCACUUGAACAAUGUUACAAGAUACUUCACCCUGUCAGACCUUCAGAUAGACGAUGCUGGGGUUUAUACUGUGGAGAAUACAGAUGGAGGAAAAAAAAAAAGUUUGAGCUCACUGUAUACAAUGUUGUUUCCAAACCUCAGGUGACGGAGUGUGGCAGCAGUUCCUGUAGUGUGGUGUGUUCUGUCGACAACGAAAAAGAGGUGACAUUGACCUUGUACAGGGGAGAGGAAAAACUAAACCAGACCAGCAGUCCUAAUCUCAACACCGAUCUAUCUCUCCGUUUGGAGGUAGAGGGAAAGAACUACAACUCCACCUACAGCUGUGUGGCUGCUAACCCUAUCAGCAAUGAGACAGUUCAUGUCCCAAAAUGUUGCAGCGAAGAUGGUCAUCGUAAUGAUGCAGAUAGUGAUGAGAGGAAUCGGGGUAUUCUUAUUAUUGCUGUAAUCUGUGUUUUGGUUAUCUCGGGGCUGGUUGGACUUGCAAUCUAUCUAAAGAAGAGUAGAAAUGGACACUCACAAGGCAGAUUCAUCUGAAAGAGUGAAAGAUGAUAUUCAGUAUGCAACGAUAACUCCUCAAAAACAAACAGAUAAUCAGGAGGAGCGAACCGGUAUACCAGAACUGGAGUCGCAAAGAGACAACCCUGAACUGACAUCAGUUUAUGAUACACUUCUGUUACAUCGCAUGGCUGCCAGCGGGGAUGUUGACACAGCAUGAAGGAACAAAACGGGAAGUCAAUAAGCGGCCGACAUGAUAACUGACAUCCUGGAGAGGACGGUAUAUCAUAAAGAGGACGUUGAAACAAAAUGAAAGUAAAAAAUAUAUUCACCCUGAAAACCUUUUAGAGGCACAGUUGUUAUGGGAGAAAAACUGUUGUACUGAUAUUAUAAUGUCAGGCUUUCUUUGUAGGUCAUUCUCACAGACCUUCUGUCAAAUAGCUGUCUCGAUGACAUCCACUGAUACGGACCAAUUCAAUAGCUAUGCAUUGAGUUAGUAGCAGGAUCAGGAUAAUCCUUUUUUCCUUUACAUUUACAUUUACAUUUACGUCAUUUAGCAGACGCUCUUAUCCAGAGCGACUUACAAAUUGGUGCAUUCAUCUUAUAUAAAAAAAAAUCCUUUCACCGUGUAUGUUGUAUUGAAACACGUCCGAGGGUAGAUCUUGAUUUGCCGUUUGAUCUUGAGUGACAUUUUCCUAUUCUUAGCGCUUUUUGCAAAAUGUAGGGCUAAAUUGUAGCUCUUAAUUAGCUUGUUUCGUUUAAUAUGAUGGACCAUUUAUUGGUUGUCCCUAUCUAUGUAGCACAUCCUCCCUUAAGAAUACAAUCACUCCCUCCUGCAGACUCAUGCAGACACUGUACACUCUCCUUGUAUCAGAGCAUGUGCCUGCACAGAUUACUGUGACCCGAAAAUAACAAAUCUGUCGAUACCAUAGUAAGUCGUUGCACUGUAGGCUAUUUCAUUUUUAUACUACUCUAUUUCAGAGUAGUUACUGAGACUGAAUAUGAAGAUAUAAUUCACUUUUCACUAUUUUAAAAUAACCUCAUGACUUAUUCAAACUGAGCUUCAAUAUAUUAAGUCAAAGACUUACCCAUACAUUUCAUUUAAAGGUAUACAAUGUGUAUAUUUCCUGAUGUUUAAUAGUCAUCAAUACCCAUGGAUGCUUGAAAUAUAUAAUUUUUUGACAUACCCUAUUGCAACCCAAAAUAUUAUGUUUGACAACUCCAUUCUCCAUUUAUGUUUUUGUUGUCAUUUUAAAUCUUUGUAAACAAAGUAUGUAUUGCUUCAGAAUACUGGUGUAAACUGUCAUUCCUUGAAGCCAUAGCUGCAUCUAUGAGUUUGAGAGUGGAAACAUUUCUCCAAAUACAUUUCUCCAGAACCACAAAUCCAAAUUGUGGUUUUAAUGUAGCCUACUUCUAGGGUCAAAUCGGAGGGACCACUGUAAUUGUUUAGUGGAUUUCAAUUGUGUAUAUUUAUUGAGUUUAAGUGUAUUUGUGACCUUUUGUCCUGUCAUUUUGCAUGCCAGGCAGCUGUACAUUUCAAAUUGGAAAACAAUAAUGACUGUAAACAGUGAAUUCUUAACUUUUUAUUUCAAAAUCAAAUUCAAUUUUAUUCCAAUCUCGUUGCCCCAUUUAGUGGUUGAAUGUUUUUAUAUUUCAGCAUACUGUAUACACAAUGCUUUUAGCCAGUGAUCUGUAUGUUGUAAGUGUAACUUAAGUUAUGUGCCACCAAAAUGUUUCAAAUCUUUCUCUGCUUUUCGUUUGGACUGUGGUUAUUAUUUUGCCAAUUGAAUAUUGAUAAAGGAGGUUGUGGAUUAUGCCAUA